GGACAAUUGAGGCAUCAAUCCUGUCUGAACACUUGUGCUUUGCUUUGACAGGGCAAUGAGAAGGAUCUCAACACCGAAGUUUCAAACUAGAGGACUGAGAGAAUUCAUUUCUUCUUUUGGACAAGUGACAAAGAGCUGCUUGGUGGCCACUUCACAUGAUGGACCCAAGAGAGUUACAAGAAAAAAACCUGCUCACUAGGAAAUAAAGUUCCCUGAUGUUUAAGGAAGAUCA
rnacentral:lncRNA from 1 species